AUUGAACGCUGGCGGCAUGCUUUACACAUGUAAGUCGAACGGCAGCGCGGGCUUCGGCCUGGCGGCGAGUGGCGAACGGGUGAGUAAUGCAUCGGAACGUGCCCAGUAGUGGGGGAUAGCCCGGCGAAAGCCGGAUUAAUACCGCAUACGACCUGAGGGUGAAAGCGGGGGACCGAAAGGCCUCGCGCUAUUGGAGCGGCCGAUGUCGGAUUAGCUAGUUGGUGGGGUAAAGGCUUACCAAGGCGACGAUCCGUAGCUGGUCUGAGAGGACGACCAGCCACACUAGGACUGAGACACGGCCCAGACUCCUACGGGAGGCAGCAGUGGGGAAUUUUGGACAAUGGGGGCAACCCUGAUCCAGCCAUGCCGCGUGCGGGAAGAAGGCCUUCGGGUUGUAAACCGCUUUUGUUCGGGAAGAAAUCCUCUGGGCUAAUACCCCGGGGGGAUGACGGUACCGGAAGAAUAAGCACCGGCUAACUACGUG
rnacentral:rRNA from 1 species